rnacentral:rRNA from 1 species
UAAUACAGAGGGUGCGAGCGUUGUUCGGAAUUACUGGGCGUAAAGCGCGCGCAGGCGGCCUUUUAAGUCUACCCGUGAAAUGCCGGGGCUCAACUCCGUGCACGCCGGGGGAUACUGGGAGGCUGGAGACAUGUAGAGGCAAGCGGAAUUCCGGGUGUAGCGGUGGAAUGCGUAGAGAUCCGGAAGAACACCUGAGGCGAAGGCGGCUUGCUGGGCAUGAUCUGACGCUGAGGCGCGAAAGCGUGGGGAGCGAACAGGAUUAGAUACCCUGGUAGUCCACGCCGUAAACGAUGGGCACUAGACGCGGGUGGGAUCGACCCCUUCCGUGUCGCAGCUAACGCGCUAAGUGCCCCGCCUGGGGAGUACGGCCGCAAGGCUG